AGGUAAUAAAGUAUAACCAUAAAGUGGCGAGGAUUUCUGUCUAUUCUUGACUAGUGGUACAGUGAUUUUUCUUCUGGCCUCCUGCCUCUCCUGUUCCGAGACGGGGCGUCUCAAAACGGUUCAACCUUGCCUAAGAUCAGAUCAACAGGAAGUUUAAUAUUUUUACCGAAGACAACCUCAUUAGGUGUAACUCUGGUCGAUUCAUGAACUGAUGAACGAUAUGCUGCCAUUUUCAACAAUCAAAAAUGCAAACCAAAAGUCCCGAAAGUUCCCGGGUAGCGAGGUGGUUGGCGCCAAAGCCCUGUAUAGGGAAAGUUACGACAACUCAUUUACAGGCGCCAUUUUGGGUCCCCACUAUGACGUCAUGUCGUCAUAUAGCUGUACUUCCCGCGAUGCUUUCGAGCUUCGCUCUAUAUAAUAAUGUAUUUUAAAUUCCUCAAACAGAGUGGUUAUGCAAGCAAAAUGUGUCGAAAAGUCAAAUUUGACAAACAUCAAUUAAAAAAUGUAUUUUUCAUUUGGUGGCCGGCAU